GGUGGGUGGAAUGGGGAGUCGAAGCGAAUGCGGCGGUGGAGGAUGGGGCAGUGCGGCGAGAGCCUGGAACCUGAGGUCCUACCGCAUUAGAGGCCUCUGAGGACCCCCCUUGGUGAUCUUGCUCCGCCCCUUUUUGAAGCUUGGGGUCCUCUCACUUGGAGGGGUCCUCUCACUUGGAGGGAUCCUCGCUGAACCGAGGCCUCACACUGCCUGUGGAAUGCAGUAGCCCUCUGGGCCUGGGAUAUUGUGGUUGAUAACUGUGCCAUCUGCAGGAACCACAUUAUGGAUCUUUGCAUAGAAUGUCAAGCUAACCAGGCGUCCGCUACUUCAGAAGAGUGUACUGUCGCAUGGGGAGUCUGUAACCAUGCUUUUCACUUCCACUGCAUCUCUCGCUGGCUCAAAACACGACAGGUGUGUCCAUUGGACAACAGAGAGUGGGAAUUCCAAAAGUAUGGGCACUAGGAAAAGACUUCUUCCAUCAAGCUUAAUUGUUUUGUUAUUCAUUUAAUGACUUUCCCUGCUGUUACCUAAUUACAAAUUGGAUGGAACUGUGUUUUUUUCUGCUUUGUUUUUUCAGUUUGCUGUUUCUGUAGCCAUAUUGUAUUCUGUGUCAAAUAAAGUCCAGUUGGAUUCUG
rnacentral:lncRNA from 1 species